UUAGUUGAAACCAAAAUAGAGGUCUACCACUGUUAAUGGUAAAAUUGGAAUUCCUCCCUUCUAAG
rnacentral:tRNA from 1 species